rnacentral:tRNA from 1 species
GGGGAUGUGGCUCAAGUGGUAGCGCGCUCACCUGGCAAGUGUGAGGCACUGGGUUCAAUUCUCAGCACUACA